CUCCCUGCUAGUUUCCCUGGUAACCAACAAGAAGACCGGAAGUCAGUUCCCCCAGUGACUGGUAACCUCCUCCUCCCCCAUCACGAAGGCUGCCGCCAUGUUCGGGGGCCACUGCCGCCUGCCGUCUGCACUGCAGGUGGAGGGAUGUCGCUCCAGGACCUUGCUUCAGAUAGGUAUAUUUCUAGGAGCAGAGUUGCUGAGUCAUUUGACUAUCCAUCCUUCAUUGAAUUGGCAUAUUUGUUGAAUGGGCACUGGAAUUUUGAAAGUGUCCCUGGUGCAGACAAAGUUGAGAUCCAAGCUGCCUGAAGGUGCUAGCAUCUCACAUCUCUGCCUUUCCACAGUAGACAAAGAUCUUGAUGUGUUCUAGAAUCUAGAACA